GCGGACCGCCCAAAUAACCUUGAGUGCCAUCAACGCAUCGAUCUGCCACGCCUUUUUGAGUGUUUCCCCCAGUGAUCCUUUACCCGUACAAUCGUUCUCCCCGCCGCCAACGUGAUUAAACAGUUCUAGUAAAGGGGAUUGUGUUGACGCAUACGCCAUCCCCCCGUUUGUCGUUAACAUACGGUUUUGCCGCGCCAUUUCGUCCUUGUGGGCCUUUUCGCUAUCGGGGUCUGUUGCUGCGCGGUCAAGGGCAUCGACGAAGACAUUGCCAGUCGUCUUUUGCUCUGUGAUUCCCGCACUCGCCCUGUCGGAGUCGCCGCCUGCAUUGAUAUGCAUGGCGCCCACGGCAUUCUCCACAUCUACGAGAGCGGGAAGAGCUUUCAAGACAUGCAUCUCAAAAUCUGUGUCGGACAUGCGCAGGCAUGGGUCUUCUGGAAGAAGGACUGGAAAACUGGAGUCCAUUGAACUGGUUUUCACUCUCUUUGCCGGCGGCAGUACUUGAUGUGGAGCAAUUUCAGCUCUUGGAUGCUUCUCCACGCAGUUAGAGGGGUUUUCCAUUGUCGAUAAUUCUUGGUUAUUUGAUAUAUAUUUCGAAUUUUCACUGGGUAUAUUUUGUUGGUGAGAUACGAUAAGUCAAAUAGAGUAUUCGGCCCUUUAUUUAUCUGUUUUAUAUAACUUCCCUAGAGAUAAAGAUAUCAAAUAAUCCGCAUAAGCACAAAAUUUUUGGAUAUUUUGAGCUCAGGUAGUAAUUUCGCUGCAGACGGGGAGCGCGGGGUUGCAGGAAACUAUCGCGAUCCCUGGAAACAACACAAAUGAAGCAGCUUCGGAUCGGAUCUUAACAGCGUACGCGAAAGGAAAAUCCGUAAGCCAGAUUAGCUCCACAUGCCACAAUCAGAA
rnacentral:sRNA from 2 species